rnacentral:lncRNA from 1 species
CCUGUCAAAUAGAGCUGUUUGUGUAUGAUUGACAAACUAUUCUCCUAUUAAACCAUACAAACUAGUAGUUGAAUGGUGGAACCAAUAGUCAUACAAAGUCCUAAAAGCGAUCCCUAUAGAGGUCUUAAAUGCCGAUACAUUUCCCUGAAAUCUUCAUUUCGUUGAACUUAUGCACCUCAACCUUGGGAGCAAGGAUAUCAUUUUAUGCUAUGAGAAUGCCUCAAUAACCCUUUAUGUCUGUAUUUCAUGAAGGUUUACUUCUUCAAAAUGGAUAACUGGUGGGAUAAUACAUAUAUAUCGAGUAGGAUGAAGUGGAAUGAAGAAUGAUUACUGGUCAUCGUGAAACGAUUUACGGAUAAUGAAGAGGUUUAGGCAUGAUGAAUGAUGGAAAUCAGUAGUGUUUUUAUGUUGAACCUGUAAUAGAUGAAAGGUUGAUCUGCUGCUAUUCUUCGUUGGUGAGUUAUGCCCAUAAAUAGAUUUAUAUUUUGGUUGAUUACCUCAGAGGAUAUGAAGAUAUGCUUUGCUUUAGAGGAGAACUGAUCCCAUAUGAAGCUCUUCAACUUCUUGGUUUAGAACUACUCUAGGAUACGGUAGAAGUUCAUAUUGAGCUCAAAUAUGGACUAGAUGUGUUGCCACUUAAUGCAACCAACAAGGUGUCAAAUGGCCACUAGAGGUUGAUAAACAUGCCACACUUAAUGAGCAUCAACCGAGUUUUAACAAAUUAUCUGCACUUUCAGUUACAGGUAUUCAUUUUAGUUCUCUUCCAAGCUGUACAUGCAUCACAACUGUAGAUGUGACGCCAAGAUUGUCGGUUGAAGUAAUGAUGCUGGUCUAGCAUCUAAAGUUAUGGUCUUGCCUCGGCGGUUAUGCAGUAGGGUAAUUCUGGGUUAUCUCUGAAUAAUACUAAUAAGAGAUUGCCAAGUUUGCGCUGAGGAUAUGUUUGUUGGCAUCCUUGUGACAUAUGUAGAAUAUAUCAUGUGAAUACCUAAAAAAAAAAAAACCAGGCUGACAAUAAGAUGACAAAUUUGGGCUUUCUGUCUAGUCUCUUAUAUAUAAUAUAUGCUUGUGCAUGUGCGCGUGCAUGCGCGUGUGUGGUUUUUCUACUGAUUUGCUUAACUUUGGAGCCUAGAACAUGGUUAUACAUGGUCUGAAAAUGUGAUGGUAGCCGAUGAAUGUCGUUAAAUCUCAUGAUGAAAUAGCUGUCUCUACUCAUUUAACCUAUCAUCCUUUCUGAAUCUUUGUCU